AUAAUUUGGAGACCAGGAUCAGCUGGUUUUCCAUUGCUGAGUGAUUCAUGACCAUUCUCCAUGUUUAAUCCUCAACAGAAUCCUUCACCAGACACCGAUAUAAGGACAUAAUCGAACCAUGAAUCGGGACCUACGUAGGCCAAAGAACCAUGUUUCAUUAUCAGACAUCUCUGAUCAGAGAAUCAUACAGGCAAAACAUGGAGAGAACAACAAUGGAAAUGCAAAAAGGGAGAUUUUAUUCCACAAAAACACACACAAUAUAAAGGUUCCAGAAAACAAACAGACCAAGAUUUUAGGAACAGAAUUUUGGGCAUACAAUUAAAUUAAAUUAUCUAAAAUAAGGGAUCCAAAUUUAGUUACAUACUUUCUGAUAGGAUCAAAUAUAUUUUUAACCAAGCAAAAUUAUGACAAGGCUGCUAAAAAAAACCAAACUUAGUUGAGAUAAUUAUGCCUAAAAGGCUAGAAAGACCAAAAAAAAUAGAAGAGGUCAUUGAAAAAACACUUCAUAUGAGACUUAGUCAUACAAGUUAGCUAAACUAAAAAAUGGCAUCAAAAUUGAAUAAAAAUAGAAUCUUGCAAACAAGGCUAUGAAUUAGCAGCAGAAAAUCAAAGAUUCUUGAAAUUAAACACAACCCCACCAGUUAUUUCAGAUGACAAAAUUAAAAAAAAACAAUCCAAAGUUCAAACCUUUUCUACAUUUCAUCAAAAUUAGCUAAACUAAGAACUGACAUCAAAAUUGAAUAAAAAGAAAAUCUUGCAAAAUUAGCAGCAGAAAUCAAUGAUUCUUGAAAAUAAACACAACCCCACCAGUAAUUUCAGAUGACAAAUCAAAAAACUAAUCCAAAGUUGCAAUCUUUUCUACAUUUCAUCUCAAAAUCAAUGAUUCUUGAAAAUAAACACAACCCCACCAGUAAUUUCAGAUGACAAAUCAAAAAUCCAAUCCAAAGUUGCAAUCUUUUCUAUAUUUCAUCUCAAAAUCAAGAACUGAACUGGCUCAAAAAUCAAAGCAAAUACACCAAAACCAGAAAGAUACCAACAAAUUGCUAGCAAUCUACAAUUUACACACAUCCCAUAAGCAGCCAAACUAACCCCCCCAAGAAAUGAAAAGAGAAAAUUACAUACAAAAUCCUAAGAAUUUCUCAACUUGAUAUACUUACCAAGAAAAUCCUCUCUAUUUUUUCUACUUUUAUACAAGCAUCAAAAGAUCUUUUAAAUCACUUUCAAGUUCCCAAAAAAGAAGUGUUUUUUCUCAUCAACUUCCACCAAACUUUUUGGUUGGCUUAAAAAAUCAUAUACAGUGAUGAGUGAUGCUACUCUUUUUGGAAUCUUCUUCAAUCUUUACAAUCAAAAUAUGUUUUUUCCUUCUCUCUAAUCUCUAUUCUCUACUAGUAUUUUUUU
rnacentral:lncRNA from 1 species